UUGCAGCUAUAUCAUGCUGAAACAUCCAUUCCCAUAUGGUCACUGAUGUUAAGCAAUGUUGAGCAUGGUUAGUACCUGAAUGGGUGACUGCUUGGGAAUACCAAGUGCU